CUUGUACACACCGCCCGUCACACCAUGGGAGCGGGUUCUGCCAGAAGUAGUUAGCCUAACCGCAGGGAGGGCGAUUACCACGGCAGGGUUCGUGACUGGGGUG
rnacentral:rRNA from 1 species